rnacentral:rRNA from 1 species
UUAGUGGCGGACGGGUGAGUAACGCGUGAGGAACCUGCCUCGGAGUGGGGAAUAACAGACCGAAAGGCCUGCUAAUACCGCAUGAUGCAGUUGGACCGCAUGGUCCUAACUGCCAAAGAUUUAUCGCUCUGAGAUGGCCUCGCGUCUGAUUAGCUUGUUGGCGGGGUAAUGGCCCACCAAGGCGACGAUCAGUAGCCGGACUGAGAGGUUGGCCGGCCACAUUGGGACUGAGACACGGCCCAGACUCCUACGGGAGGCAGCAGUGGGGAAUAUUGGGCAAUGGGCGAAAGCCUGACCCAGCAACGCCGCGUGAGGGAAGAAGGGUUUCGGCUCGUAAACCUCUGUCCUAUGGGACGAAGGAAGUGACGGUACCAUAGGAGGAAGCCCCGGCUAACUACGUGCCAGCAGCCGCGGUAAUACGUAGGGGGCGAGCGUUGUCCGGAAUGAUUGGGCGUAAAGGGCGCGUAGGCGGCCUGCUAAGUCUGGAGUGAAAGUCCUGCUUUCAAGGUGGGAAUUGCUUUGGAUACUGGUGGGCUGGA